CAGAUAUUGCCUGUUUUAUUCAUGAGUUUACAGUUAUGAGUUCGCAGAAUAAUUAAACUAUAUUCUGCGAACUCAUGAUGCGCGUGCAUCUUGGAACAUCUAAUAUAACAGGUUCUAUGUUUCACUCUUAAGUGCCCUCAGUGACGCAGUGACCAUACCUAGAUACGCACAGUUGAUUGUUGAUAGCAGAGCAGAGCAGACUCUCAGUUUCAAGUGAAAAUUUGCUUUUUGGUUUCGUUUUGUGUGCUGUGACUGCAGGAUAAUUAUUUUAAUAUGCCUGUACUUCAACAACAUAUUUAAAACAACAACAGCCAGUAUGACUGCAAAGAAAAGAAGAAUAGUGGAUGAAAAUAGAAAGUAUAGCGAUGAAUGGGAAGAAAAGUACUUCUUCAUAGUUCAAAAUACAAAAUUAUUAUGUUUAAUUUGCCGAGAGGUCGUUGCUGUAUUUAAGGAAUAUAAUGUUAAGAGGCAUUACGAAACAAAACAUAAGGAUUAUUUGAAGUUCGAUAAAGAAGUGAAACAAUCGAAGCUCAAGGAGUUUAAGUCGCAAUUAAAGGCUCAACAAAAAAUGUUUGGUGCAGCAUUACAGCAACCUUCCAAUAUUGUUAAGGCAAGCUAUUCUGUUUCAUUUGUGAUUG